GGACGAAGGUCCCAAGCGUUAUUCGGAAUCACUGGGCGUAAAGAGUACGUAGGCGGUUUGGUAAGUCAGGUGUGAAAUCCCGGAGCUCAACUCCGGAACUGCAUCCGAUACUGCCAGACUUGAGUUAUGGAGAGGCAGGUGGAAUUCUCGGUGUAGCAGUGAAAUGCGUGGAUAUCGAGAGGAAGACCAAUGGCGAAGGCAGCCUGCUGGACAUUUACUGCCGCUGAGGUACGAAGGCUAGGGGAGCGAAAGGGAUUAGAAACCCCAGUAGUCC
rnacentral:rRNA from 1 species